CCCCACAGCUACUGGUCUGGAACUGUUCAGAACUGUAGCAGUUGCAGUAUUCCCUCUGUGGAAGAUAAACUGUUACAUGGUAUUAAGCUCCUUCUCAGAUCCUCUGGAAAGGACUCCCUAUGUAACGAACAUGG
rnacentral:snoRNA from 1 species